rnacentral:rRNA from 1 species
UACCCCGCUGGAAAUUAAGCAUAUCAAUAAGCGGAGGAAAAGAAACCAACAGGGAUUGCCCUAGUAACGGCGAGUGAAGCGGCAACAGCUCAAAUUUGAAAUCUGGCCUCGGCCCGAGUUGUAAUUUGCAGAGGAUGCUUCUGGCGCGGUGCCUUCCGAGUUCCCUGGAACGGGACGCCACAGAGGGUGAGAGCCCCGUAUGGUCGGACACCAAGCCUGUGUGAAGCUCCUUCGACGAGUCGAGUAGUUUGGGAAUGCUGCUCUAAAUGGGAGGUAAAUCUCUUCUAAAGCUAAAUACCGGCCAGAGACCGAUAGCGCACAAGUAGAGUGAUCGAAAGAUGAAAAGCACCUUGAAAAGGGGGUUAAAUAGUACGUGAAAUUGUUGAAAGGGAAGCACUUGUGACCAGACUUGGGCCGGGCGGCUCAUCAGGGGUUCUCCCCUGUGCACUCCGCCCGGCACAGGCCAGCAUCGGUUCUCGUGGGGGGAUAAGACCGUCAGGAACGUAGCACCCUCCGGGGUGUGUUAUAGCCUGGCGGACGAUACCCCCGUGGGGACCGAGGUUCGCGCUCCGCAAGGAUGCUGGCGUAAUGGUCACCAGUGACCCGUCUUGAACCACGGACCCA